UGGCGGUUACGAUGUCGACUUGGAGGUUGUUCCCUUGAGGAGUGGCUUCCGGAGCUAACGCGUUAAGUCGACCGCCUGGGGAGUACGGCCGCAAGGUUAAAACUCAAAUGAAUUGACGGGGGCCCGCACAAGCGGUGGAGCAUGUGGUUUAAUUCGAUGCAACGCGAAGAACCUUACCUACUCUUGACAUCCACGGAAUUUAGCAGAGAUGCUUUAGUGCCUUCGGGAACCGUGAGACAGGUGCUGCAUGGCUGUCGUCAGCUCGUGUUGUGAAAUGUUGGGUUAAGUCCCGCAACGAGCGCAACCCUUAUCCUUUGUUGCCAGCGGUUCGGCCGGGAACUCAAAGGAGACUGCCAGUGAUAAACUGGAGGAAGGUGGGGAUGACGUCAAGUCAUCAUGGCCCUUACGAGUAGGGCUACACACGUGCUACAAUGGCGCAUACAAAGAGAAGCGAACUCGCGAGAGCAAGCGGACCUCAUAAAGUGCGUCGUAGUCCGGAUUGGAGUCUGCAACUCGACUCCAUGAAGUCGGAAUCGCUAGUAAUCGUAGAUCAGAAUGCUACGGUGAAUACGUUCCCGGGCCUUGUACACACCGCCCGUCACACCAUGGGAGUGGGUUGCAAAAGAAGUAGGUAGCUUAACCUUCGGGAGGGCGCUUACCACUUUGUGAUUCAUGACUGGGGUGAAGCGCAA
rnacentral:rRNA from 1 species